AAAAAAGAAUGGUCAUCUGAUUCGAUCUCCUUUUUUGUUAUUGGUUGGAUUCAAGGGCUGCACGAGCUUGUUCUUGAAUCACCGUAGAAUUUGAUGAAGAACGACACUACUUUGGAUGUGCUUGGUGUUCUUCGCUUUCAGAAUUAUCUAAAUCCCAAUACAACUUGGAGGUAUUUUGUUGCCUAUAUAUACCCUCAAUAUUGUAGGGUUUGACAUCAAUUCCAAUAAUUUCUGAAGACUUGUCAGAUUACAAUUUCUAAGACUGUGUUGGAUUGCGGCCUCUGCUCGAACACAAAUAAUUGGGAGUGCUAGUCAAUCAUGGUGUUUUUCAAGAGUUUCAAGCCCCAUACUAUCACCCGAAAUGUCAAUUUUCAAUGCUGAAGAGGUCGUUCUUGAUGUUCAUCGCCGUGCUGCUUUAUUCUUUAUUGAUUUCAUAAAAGGUAUCAUCCGCGAUACUACUACCAACAAAAUAUAGUCUCGAGCACCUAAACUUUAAACACUUUAUGAGGGACUCGCAAAACUCCGUGGAGACCAUUCAGCUUUGAAGAGGCGAAUUGACUUGUAUACGAAUAAUGCGGCCAAUUAUGUUGCUACAUCUUCUUCCUAUGCUUGUAUGAUGACUUCAGACUCUCAAUCACAACGAUUGGUCAGUAUUGAUACACAGCUCACCAAUGGUAGGUCUAUAGAAGAUGAGGAUGCCAAGUGUAUACAAUCACUUCAGUCUAGUUUGAGUGAAGCCGAAGUUAAAGAAGCCAAGUUAGUGAAGGAGUUGCAACAAGUCAGGGAAGAGACUCAGGGGCUUAAAGUCCUCAUAUCGACGACGGAUGCACAGUUAUCUCAGAAGAAGGAAGUUGUCACCAAACUUUGGAAAGAUCAAAAAUCAGUGGAAGAAGCUAACGUCAUCUCUAAUAAUGAUCUUGAAGUAGUGAAACAACUAGAAGAGAUAUUACGGCAAGAACGUGACGAAAUCAUAGCUAUGGAAUUUUAAUAUUGAUCAUCAUCCUUUUUUUUAUAUAUAUUUUUAAAAAAACCCAAAAGUUGUAACUUUGAAUCUCAACAAUAAAACAAAUGAUUUAUUAUCUCUAUUUGUUUAACAAAGAUGUUGUCAUUGUUUAUUGGUUUCGCCGUUCACAGUUUAUACUCUUGCGGGCCAGGAGUAUGCAGAUUUUUUUUUUUUUUUUUUUGGGUCGUACACAGUUUUAGCUCAUGCGGGCCAGGAGCAUAGUGUAGUUUAAGCUAAUAUGAUCAGGAGCAUAUCCUUCAUGGGUAGUAGCGUUUCAGGAAUUUGCCAUUAAUGGGCCCCACUCUUACUCCGUCUUCAUCAAUAAUAAGAUACGCGCCGUUA